rnacentral:rRNA from 1 species
GUUAAUAUUCCCGUACUUCUUACAAUUGCGAUGGGGGGACGGAGAAGGCUAGGUGGGCCUGGCGACGGUUGUCCAGGUUCAAGUGCGUAGGCUUAAGAGUUAGGUAAAUCCGGCUCUUUUUAAGGCGAGACACGACGUCGAGCACCUACGGGUGUGAAGUCAUUGAUGCCAUGCUUCCAGGAAAAAGCCUCUAAGCUUCAGUUGUAAGGAAUCGUACCCCCAAACGACACAGGUGGUCGGGUAGAGAAUACCA